rnacentral:lncRNA from 1 species
CGAUUUAUUAUGUGCAAGCACCCAAUACAAAUUGAAUUAAGAGAAGAAUAAAAGAAAGAGCAGGCUUACCAAAGUAAAAGCAUAUUCUUUGCUUUUCCCCUGUGACUGGCAUAAUGAAACUUCAGCAGCAAAACGUUCCAACAGGUCUCGUUCUCGUAGGCAGAAUAUGUCGUUCUGGAAAAAAGGCAAUCAAAACUACUGACCUGCUAAAUGAUUCAUCUAAAAUGAAAAACAAACAAAAGCUUCGGUACCUGGAACUGGGCUUGCCUCAUUGUGGAACUUGUGAGUUGUGAAGGUACGACGGAAAAUGAAAAACAAACAAAAGCUUCGUUACCUGGAAUUGGGAUUGCCUCAUUGCGGAACUUGUGAGUUGUGAAGGUACGACGGGACGAGAGUUGUUCAUGUGUUCUAAUCCCAAUCCUUUGAACGGCUUCUUACUCCUUUUGGCUGUCAUAUAUUCCCCAAGAAGUGCCUUGCUAACCUGCCAUUUUAAGUUUCCCAUUGAACAGCAAAGUUACCCAGUGGCUAUGUAAAGAUCAAUAAUAACCACAUUUUGACG